GCAAACUUGGUCAUUUAGAGGAAGUAAAAGUCGUAACAAGGUUUCCGUAGGUGAACCUGCGGAAGGAUCAUUACUAAUUAUCCACCAUAAUGGAUAAUUUUAUCCAUAUCCACCUUGUGUGAAUCACUGAACUGUUUGUUGGCAGGUUAAAGGCUUUUUCGCCUGUGAGUUUUUUUGUGGCUCGGCCUGCCAAUUUCAUUUGUUUAAACUUGUCUAAAUAUUACUAGUCUGAAAUAUAUAUAUAUAACAUAUAAUAAAUACAACUUUCAGCAACGGAUCUCUUGGCUCUCGCAUCGAUGAAGAACGCAGC
rnacentral:misc_RNA from 1 species